AGAGUUUGAUCCUGGCUCAGGAUGAACGCUAGCUACAGGCUUAACACAUGCAAGUCGAGGGGCAGCAUGGUCUUAGCUUGCUAAGGCCGAUGGCGACCGGCGCACGGGUGAGUAACACGUAUCCAACCUGCCGUCUACUCUUGGACAGCCUUCUGAAAGGAAGAUUAAUACAAGAUGGCAUCAUGAGUCCACAUGUUCACAUGAUUAAAGGUAUUCCGGUAGACGAUGGGGAUGCGUUCCAUUAGAUAGUAGGCGGGGUAACGGCCCACCUAGUCUUCGAUGGAUAGGGGUCCUGAGAGGAAGGUCCCCCACAUUGGAACUGAGACACGGUCCAAACUCCUACGGGAGGCAGCAGUGAGGAAUAUUGGUCAAUGGGCGAGAGCCUGAACCAGCCAAGUAGCGUGAAGGAUGACUGCCCUAUGGGUUGUAAACUUCUUUUAUAAAGGAAUAAAGUCGGGUAUGCAUACCCGUUUGCAUGUACUUUAUGAAUAAGGAUCGGCUAACUCCGUGCCAGCAGCCGCGGUAAUACGGAGGAUCCGAGCGUUAUCCGGAUUUAUUGGGUUUAAAGGAGCGUAGAUGGAUGUUUAAGUCAGUUGUGAAAGUUUGCGGCUCAACCGUAAAAUUGCAGUUGAUACUGGAUAUCUUGAGUGCAGUUGAGGCAGGCGGAAUUCGUGGUGUAGCGGUGAAAUGCUUAGAUAUCACGAAGAACUCCGAUUGCGAAGGCAGCCUGCUAAGCUGCAACUGACAUUGAGGCUCGAAAGUGUGGGUAUCAAACAGGAUUAGAUACCCUGGUAGUCCACACGGUAAACGAUGAAUACUCGCUGUUUGCGAUAUACUGCAAGCGGCCAAGCGAAAGCGUUAAGUAUUCCACCUGGGGAGUACGCCGGCAACGGUGAAACUCAAAGGAAUUGACGGGGGCCCGCACAAGCGGAGGAACAUGUGGUUUAAUUCGAUGAUACGCGAGGAACCUUACCCGGGCUUAAAUUGCAGAUGAAUUACGGUGAAAGCCGUAAGCCGCAAGGCAUCUGUGAAGGUGCUGCAUGGUUGUCGUCAGCUCGUGCCGUGAGGUGUCGGCUUAAGUGCCAUAACGAGCGCAACCCUUGUUGUCAGUUACUAACAGGUUCCGCUGAGGACUCUGACAAGACUGCCAUCGUAAGAUGUGAGGAAGGUGGGGAUGACGUCAAAUCAGCACGGCCCUUACGUCCGGGGCUACACACGUGUUACAAUGGGGGGUACAGAGGGCCGCUACCACGCGAGUGGAUGCCAAUCCCAAAAACCUCUCUCAGUUCGGACUGGAGUCUGCAACCCGACUCCACGAAGCUGGAUUCGCUAGUAAUCGCGCAUCAGCCACGGCGCGGUGAAUACGUUCCCGGGCCUUGCACACACCGCCCGUCA
rnacentral:rRNA from 1 species